rnacentral:miRNA from 1 species
AUAUUUGACUAGAUAGCUUAAUAG